rnacentral:rRNA from 1 species
CCUACGGGUGGCAGCAGUGGGGAAUAUUGCACAAUGGGGGAAACCCUGAUGCAGCGACGCCGCGUGCGUGAAGAAGUAUUUCGGUACGUAAAGCUCUAUCCGCAGGGAAGAAAAUGACGGUACCUGACUAAGAAGCCCCGGCGACCUACGUGCCAGCAGCCGCGGCAAUACGUAGGCGGCAAUCGUUAUCCGGAUUGACUGGGUGUAAAGGGAGCGUAGACGGCAGCGCAAGUCUGAAGUGAAAUCCCAUGGCUUAACCAUGGAACUGCUUUGGAAACUGUGCAGCUGGAGUGCAGGAGAGGUAAGCGGAAUUCUUAGUGUAGCGGUGAAAUGCGUAGAUACUAGGAGGAACACCAGUGGCGAAGGCGGGUUACUGGACAGUAACUGACGUUGAGGCUCGAAAGCGUGGGGAGCAAACGGGAUUAGAUACCCUGGUAGUC